GGCUUCGUGGUCGAGUAGUAAGGACAUUUGUCUCUUAUCCAGGAGUUCCGGGUUCGAUUCUCGGUCAAGGAGCUA